rnacentral:rRNA from 1 species
GACGAACGCUGGCGGCGUGCUUAACACAUGCAAGUCGAACGGAAAGGCCCUGCUUUUGUGGGGUGCUCGAUUGGCGAACGGGUGAGUAACACGUGAGUAACCUGCCCUUGACUUUGGGAUAACUUCAGGAAACUGGGGCUAAUACCGGAUAGGAGCUCCUGCUGCAUGGUGGGGGUUGGAAAGUUUCGGCGGUUGGGGAUGGACUCGCGGCUUAUCAGCUUGUUGGUGGGGUAGUGGCUUACCAAGGCUUUGACGGGUAGCCGGCCUGAGAGGGUGACCGGCGACAUUGGGACUGAGGUACGGCCCAGACUCCUACGGGAGGCAGAAGUGGGGAAUAUUGCACAAUGGGCGGAAGCGUGAUGCAGAAACGCCGCGUGCGGGAUGACGGCCUUCGGGUUGUAAACCGCUUUCGCCUGUGACGAAGCGUGAGUGACGGUAAUGGGUAAAGAAGCACCGGCUAACUACGUG